rnacentral:tRNA from 1 species
GCGCCCGUAGCUCAGUGGAUAGAGCACCGGACUUCUAAUCCGACGGUCGCAGGUUCGAAUCCUGCCGGGCGCGCCC